rnacentral:tRNA from 1 species
AAAUAAGAAGUAAAUAUUACAUUUAAUUUCGACUUAAAAACUUGGUGUAAAAACACCCUUAUUUA